rnacentral:rRNA from 1 species
AUUGAACGCUGGCGGCAUGCCUUACACAUGCAAGUCGAACGGUAACAGCACUUCGGUGGCUGACGAGUGGCGAACGGGUGAGUAAUACAUCGGAACGUGCCCGAGAGUGGGGGAUAACGCAGCGAAAGCUGUGCUAAUACCGCAUACGAUCUACGGAUGAAAGCAGGGGAUUCGCAAGGACCUUGCGCUCAUGGAGCGGCCGAUGGCAGAUUAGGUAGUUGGUGGGAUAAAAGCUUACCAAGCCGACGAUCUGUAGCUGGUCUGAGAGGACGACCAGCCACACUGGGACUGAGACACGGCCCAGACUCCUACGGGAGGCAGCAGUGGGGAAUUUUGGACAAUGGGCGAAAGCCUGAUCCAGCCAUGCCGCGUGCAGGAUGAAGGCCUCGGGUUGUAACUAGCUUUGUUACGGUAACGAAAGAAUACUCUUCUAAUAAAGGGGUACCGAGUGACGGUACCGUAAGAAUAAG